GCGGGGCUCCAGGGCCGGGGAAGGAGCCUGGCGUCCGCCGACCGCCCUGAUUUUUAGUCUGGUUUAGAGGACGUCGCAGGCUAAGCAGACCGAGUUUCCGGAGCCGUAGAAAGGGAUUCUCCAAGAAAAUGAGGACAGAUUACUGCUGCUCUCAGUCUUGAUCAGAGUCGCUUCGGUCUACGGUGAGCAACAGGAAAAUUUUAGAGACUAACGCAUGCUCAGUCUGGGACACCCACAUCAUCCCCUCAGGCUCAAGGAACAUUCCAGAAGAAGGAAUAAAAAGAACAUUGAGUCGGAGGAUGGGAAAUACUGUGAAAUGCUGUCUUCUGAACGUGGCGUGGCUGACACACCUGUGAACUCAUGGCAGCAGUGACUACCCACACAUACAUGACCGGCCAUCAGCAUUCCAUCAUGGAUGAGGGAGGGGCUCAUAAAGGCUUCGGUCGUCCCUGAGGAGCUAUAGGCAGUUUAUUGCUGGGGGACAGGGUUCACACUCUUGUGGUGCUGAUGGACAUCUAGGUUGCUUCCAUUUCUUAGCAAUUGUGAAUUAAACAGCCAUGAAAAUGAAUGCACAAGAAGUUCUAUGAAGAUCUUUGCAAAUAUGCUGAGUGUUACAGCUGGAUUGUGCGGUGGCUCUAUUUCCAGUCAUUUGAGGGGCCGCCAUGCUUACUUACAUAUUGGCUACACCAGUUUGCAUGCCCACCAACAGUAAUUGUUCCCCUUUUUCCACACCCACAGUCUUGGUUGUCAUUUAUUUUUGCUUUGCUGGGUGUUUUGUUUGUUUGCUUUUUUUUUUUAUCUUAGUCAUUCUGUGAGAAAAUGAAAUCUCAAAGGAGUUUUAAUUUGUAUUUCCCUGAUGGCUAGGAAUACUGAACAUUAAGGAAAGUUAGUUAUUUUAUUUAUUUUUGAGAGCUCUUUUUAGAUUCAUACCCCAAGUUUUAAUCGGGUUGUUUUCUUGGUGUUUAGGGUGGUGGUGGUAUAUCUGCAGCACAGCCGCUGCCUCAGCUGUGCCGCCUCCACAUAGGGAGACAAAUGUUUUAACUAAGCCUCUCUCCUUCUAUUUUACCAAUAAAGACUUGAGAGUCAAA